GUAUUUAUCAUUUGCGAGAAAGGUAUUUUUAAGCUCCCAGGUACUUUGGAUAUCAAACUGCCGGAGCAAAUUCCCGGUCAAUAAAAAUAAAAGCUGUUGAUGGUGAAAGAGGUCUACCCAGUGAAAGAUCAGUACGUUUAUACGGAAGUGAUAAAGGCAAUAGCUGCCAUGCCAGCGACGCCGAAAAGAUUGCAUUAGGACGUUGCGGUGGUUGGGAAAUUACGAUCGAUGUUUCGCCGUAUGUCUUAAAGUAGAACAUCAUUAUACGGUAUAGACCCCGGGCCCAAGUGGACGCGGAAUAAAGAAGAAGUAGAAGGCUUAUUCAUAAUGCAGCAGAAGCAGUUUCGGGAGAACAACAAUCCAGCGGCACCCGAACAACUCGGUCAUAAAUUCCGAUUUUAACACGUGCUUUAGUGUGUAUCACGUAUAGCGUGAAGUGUGACCGCGUUAGAAGAGUAUUGAGGCCAAAACAACCGAACCAAGGAACAGUACUUUCUUGAGAAAAUGCAUGGUAUUCCUGGACGAGCUGCCAGUCAGCAGAGGAGGAAGGAGAAGGAACUAACGAUUAGAUCAAAUUUGGUUAUCCGAUGUUGGCAACUAGAGCAACUUGAAGAAGCAUUUUGAUAACAACCCAGUGAUCAUAUUCAGCGAGUAUAGCGAUUUGGUUGCCACAAUUAAUCGACUGCGGAUGCAGAACCGGCUGCUGAUCAAGCCUCAGUAUAUCUUUGAUCAAAUUGGCACCAGCGGAAAACUGACGUUUCGUCACGAAAAAAGAGCAAAUCGUUGACAUGAAGGACUGGUGCAUACAAUACCUUGAUCGCCACCUGCUUUACCAAAGAAGGCAUCGACGUAGAUCUUAUUGUGUACCUCUAUAUCGCCAAGUAUUCGACAAUAUUGUGCAGCGCAUCGGUUGGACUAGACGACAACGGGUCAGGAAAAUGCUGCUGUUGAUCUUCGAGGAACAGAGCAUCAGAAGGAUGUUUUGGCCUCGCAGGAAAAACGAACCAAAAACUGUCGUGAAGUGAUGUUUUUUUACCGAAAAUUGCUUCGGCUGGUUUCUACGGUGUUCAAUCCUGAGUGUCAUUUUUUGGCAUAGAGCUUUUAAUAUAUUUACUUUUUAUUUUCUCUUUUGAAGUAUUUCUUUGGAAUAGGCAACAUAUAAAUUAAAAUUAUUUUGUAGUUGAAAUACUUACACCUAACAUAAUAAAAGUAAAUCAAAUUUAAAAAAACAAAAAUAAAAA